CAGAGUCAUUUGUGCCUCAGGAGAGAAGGAUCAUAAGAGAGUGACAGCAGCAGCAGCACUACCACUACCAAGAGCAGAGACUGGUGGUGGGGAUUUGGGCCUGCCUGCCUGGCCCACUUUUGGAGUCCCGGUGUCUGCUCAGCCCAGAGUGCCUCUGAGAGCAACAACUGACAGACUUCAGCCAAAGACACCGGAGUGGAACCCCCUAGCUGAAGACACCAGAAGAGAGCCCUCUACAAAAGUGCAACAGAGACAAUGUAAGAAUGGCAUUUCAUGGGAAAACUGACACAUUUCAUGAAGAUGAA